GGCGCCUUCGUCUAAUGGUUAGGACGCCGCCCUUUCACGGCGGUAAUGUUGCGUUCAAAUCGCACAGGCGUCACCA
rnacentral:tRNA from 1 species